GACGAACGCUGGCGGCGUGCUUAGCACAUGCAAGUCGAACGAUGAACCCGGAGCUUGCUCCGGCGGAUUAGUGGCGAACGGGUGAGUAACACGUGAGUAACCUGCCCUUGACUCUGGGAUAACUGCUAGAAAUGGUAGCUAAUACCGGAUACGACCCUCGGUGGCAUCACCAGGGGGUGGAAAGAAUUUCGGUCAAGGAUGGGCUCGCGGCCUAUCAGCUAGUUGGUGAGGUAACGGCUCACCAAGGCGACGACGGGUAGCCGGCCUGAGAGGGUGACCGGCCACACUGGGACUGAGACACGGCCCAGACUCCUACGGGAGGCAGCAGUGGGGAAUAUUGCGCAAUGGGCGCAAGCCUGAUGCAGCAACGCCGCGUGAGGGAUGACGGCCUUCGGGUUGUAAACCUCUUUUAGUAGGGAAGAAGCGAAAGUGACGGUACCUGCAGAAAAAGCACCGGCUAACUACGUGCCAGCAGCCGCAGUAA
rnacentral:rRNA from 1 species